rnacentral:rRNA from 1 species
UACGUAGGGGGCAAGCGUUGUCCGGAAUCAUUGGGCGUAAAGAGCGUGUAGGCGGUCCGGUAAGUCGGUUGUGAAAUUCCGGGGCUCAACCCCGGAACUGCGUCCGAUACUGCGUGGCUAGAGGUAGGUAGGGGAGAUCGGAAUUCCUGGUGUAGCGGUGAAAUGCGCAGAUAUCAGGAGGAACACCGGUGGCGAAGGCGGCUCACUGGUCCGGUACUGACGCUGAGGUGCGAAAGCGUGGGGAGCAAACAGG